CCUACGGGGAGCAGCAGUGGGGAAUAUUGGACAAUGGGGGGAACCCUGAUCCAGCGACGCCGCGUGAGUGAAGAAGUAUUUCGGUAUGUAAAGCUCUAUCAGCAGGGAAGAAAGAAAUGACGGUACCUGACUAAGAAGCACCGGCUAACUACGUGCCAGCAGCCGCGGUAAUACGUAGGGGGCAAGCGUUAUCCGGAUUUACUGGGUGUAAAGGGAGCGUAGACGGCGAGGUAAGGCUGACGUGAAAGGCGGGGGCCCAACCCGCGGACUGCUUUUGAAACUGUCUGGCUUGAUUGCAGGAGAGGUAAGUGGCAUUCCUUGUGUAGCGGUGACAUGCGUAGAUAUUAGGAGGAACCCCAGUGGCGAAGGCGGCUUACUGGACUGUAACUGACGUUGAGGCUCGAAAGCGUGGGGAGCAAACAGGAUUCGAUACCCGUGUAGUC
rnacentral:rRNA from 1 species